UGGACUUCGGUCUGAUGACGAGCGGCGGACGGGUGAGUAACGCGUAAGAAUGUACCCCAAACUGAGGGAUAACUGCUCGAAAGAGUAGCUAAUACCGCAUGUGCUCUACGGAGUAAAGCUUCGGCGGUUUGGGAACAGCUUGCGUCUGAUUAGCUAGUUGGUAAGGUAAUGGCUUACCAAGGCGACGAUCAGUAGCUGGUCUGAGAGGAUGACCAGCCACACUGGGACUGAGACACGGCCCAGACUCCUACGGGAGGCAGCAGUAGGGAAUUUUCCACAAUGGGCGAAAGCCUGAUGGAGCGACGCCGCGUGCAGGAUGAAGGCCUUAGGGUUGUAAACUGCUUUUAUCUGUGACGAAUAUGACGGUAGCAGAUGAAUAAGGAUCGGCUAACUCCGUGCCAGCAGCCGCGGUCAUACGGAGGAUCCAAGCGUUAUCCGGAAUAACUGGGCGUAAAGAGUUGCGUAGGCGGCUUGUUAAGCGAAGUGUGAAAUCGUGUGGCUCAACCAUGCGGCUAUGCUUUGAACUGGCAAGCUAGAGAAUGAGAGAGGUUACUGGAAUUCCAAGUGUAGGAGUGAAAUCCGUAGAUAUUUGGAGGAACACCGAUGGCGUAGGCAGGUAACUGGCUCAUUUCUGACGCUCAGGCACGAAAGCGUGGGGAGCAAACGGGAUUAGA
rnacentral:rRNA from 1 species